UGACUGAAGGUGGGCAAUAAGAAAAUGACAUUUGCUAUUUCCAAAACAGCCAGAGCAAAAGUUACACAAUCAAGGUUUCUCAUACUGCGCUAUUGUUUGCUUUAGGAGUCUCUGAUAAGAUUGAAGUCACAAUGUGAAACUCUGUUAAUUUUAAUCCGAAAGGAGGCAAAACAUUGACCUGAAUUGAACAUGCUGUUUUAGAUAAUCAACAAGCCAAGACACUAUGCAAGAAAUCAGAGGCAAUUUUUAAAAAGCCUAAGACUCAUCUGGACAGCCCACUUUUCCCAACGCAGCUGAGGAGACAAGACGCUGAGAGUCAUGGACUGACACCACCAGAAGGCAGACACCAAAUGACUGAAGAAGAUGCCCCUUAUGGCAGCUUAAAGGAGAGAACUGGUCAGAGAUACCUUUUCUGCAGAAGCAGAAUUUCAGAAGAUCGUUGCAGGAUAAAUAGUACUUUCUUUUCCACUGCUGGAGGAGUAAGGGAAUGGCAUUCUGGAAUAGAAGGGGAGGAAGCACGGAGUGGGCCUGGGACUUUACUGUACUCAAGACCUGAAGCUAGAAAAUAAAGAUACAUGCACGUUGCCAGCCAGAUCUUCGCCCUGCUUCUGAAGAAGCUUCCAGAAACCCUGUUUCAAAUAUAUGCCCCGGGACAAUGGCACAACAUGGUGUUUUCACUGAGGAAGCAUGCUCCCCAACCAGAGACAGAGCAUAAGCAGGGGAAGCAGCAGAGGGAGUGGGAGAAGCAGACUCCCCAC